AUGCCACUCUUCUCCUCCAAAUUCGCGCCGCUGAUCCCCCGCCUCCGCCGCCUCUCCACGGCGGCGGCGACCGCCGCCGGCGAGGACCCGAAGCUGUCGCGCAUCGCGGACGAGCUCCUGGCGCUCUCCUCGGCCGAGCUGGAUGACUACUCGGCCCUCAUGCGCCUCAAGCUACGCCUCUCGCUCACCUCCAACCCAGCUGCCGGAUUAGGUCCUGGCGCAGCCGGGGAUGCGGCCUCCGGGUCGGCGGGGGCCGAGGAGGCCGCGGCGGUGAAGACGGCGUUCGACGUCAAGAUCGAGAAGUACGACGCGGCGGCCAAGAUCAAGAUCAUCAAGGAGGUGCGCGCGAUGACGGACCUGGGGCUCAAGGAGGCCAAGGAGCUGGUGGAGAAGGCGCCGGUCGUGGUGCGCGCGGGGCUGCCCAAGGAGGAGGCCGAGGCUCUCGCCGCCAAGCUCAAGGCCGCCGGAGCUGCCGUUGCGCUCGAGUGA
rnacentral:rRNA from 1 species